UAAUAUAUAUUUCAGUGGUAGAAUGCUCGCCUGCCACGCGGGCGGCCAGGGUUCGAUUCCCUGCCGAUGCAUUUUUUUUAA